rnacentral:tRNA from 2 species
GCCCCGGUAGCCCAACGGUAGAGGCCGCCGAUUCAAGAUCAGCGUGAGCUGGGGGUUCGAAUCCCUCCCGGGGCA